rnacentral:rRNA from 1 species
AGAACGAACGCUGGCGGCAGGCCUAACACAUGCAAGUCGAACGCUCGUAGCAAUACGGGAGUGGCGCACGGGUGAGUAACGCGUGGGCACCUGCCCGGUGGUUUGGGAUAACCGUGGGAAACUGCGGCUAAUACCGGAUACGCCCCUAGGGGGAAAGAUUUAUCGCCAUCGGAUGGGCCCGCGUAGGAUUAGCUAGUUGGUGAGGUAACGGCUCACCAGGCUACGAUCCUUAGCUGGUCUGAGAGGAUGAUCACGCCACACUGGACUGAGACGACGGCCCAGACUCCUACGGGAGCAGCGAGUGGGGAAUAGUUGGACAAGUGGGGGACCAACCCGUAGACGUACCGAGCC